rnacentral:rRNA from 1 species
UUGGAGGGCAAGUCUGGUGCCAGCAGCCGCGGUAAUUCCAGCUCCAAUAGCGUAUAUUAAAGUUGUUGCAGUUAAAAAGCUCGUAGUUGAAUUUCGGGAUCAAUAUAUUGGUCGUGCCUCCGGUAUGCACUGGUAUUAUUGAUUUCUACCUUCUGACGAACUGUGAUGUCAUUAAUUUGGUGUCAUGGGGAAUCAGGACUGUUACUUUGAAAAAAUUAGAGUGUUUAAAGCAGGCACACGCUUGAAUACAUUAGCAUGGAAUAAUGAAAUAGGACGUUUGACCCUAUUUUGUUGGUUUCUAGGAUCGACGUAAUGAUUAAUAGGGAUAGUUGGGGGCAUUAGUAUUCAAUUGUCAGAGGUGAAAUUCUUGGAUUUAUUGAAGACUAACUACUGCGAAAGCAUUUGCCAAGGAUGUUUUCAUUAAUCAAGAACGAAAGUUAGGGGAUCGAAGACGAUCAGAUACCGUCGUAGUCUUAACCAUAAACUAUGCCGACUAGGGAUCGGAUGAUGUUAAUUUUAUAAUGACUCAUUCGGCGCCUUACGGGAAAC